AUUUUUCCUCAGUCAUACAGCAAUAUAAAUUGCAUAUCAGAAUAAAUGAUUGAGCACAUAACAUCAGAAACUCAUAAUCUUGUGCCUUGAGCAAGGAAGCAAAAUCGCUUCUUAAUGCUUGUCACGGAUCACCCUCUUCCAGCUUUGCUGUAUAACCUGUACAUAAUUUGUAACUGCAAGCUAAUGAGCACCUGGUGCAUCUCUCAUGCUCAU
rnacentral:misc_RNA from 1 species